rnacentral:rRNA from 1 species
CCUACGGGUGGCAGCAGUGGGGAAUAUUGGACAAUGGGCGAAAGCCUGAUCCAGCCAUGCCGCGUGUGUGAAGAAGGCCUUCGGGUUGUAAAGCACUUUCAGUGGGGAAGAAAGCCUUGGGGCUAAUACCCUCGAGGAAGGACAUCACCCACAGAAGAAGCACCGGCUAACUCCGUGCCAGCAGCCGCGGUAAUACGGAGGGUGCGAGCGUUAAUCGGAAUUACUGGGCGUAAAGCGCGCAUAGGCGGUCUGAUAAGCCGGUUGUGAAAGCCCCGGGCUCAACCUGGGAACGGCAUCCGGAACUGUCAGGCUAGAGUGCAGGAGAGGAAGGUAGAAUUCCCGGUGUAGCGGUGAAAUGCGUAGAGAUCGGGAGGAAUACCAGUGGCGAAGGCGGCCUUCUGGACUGACACUGACGCUGAGGUGCGAAAGCGUGGGUAGCAAACAGGAUUAGAUACCCCGGUAGUC